rnacentral:rRNA from 1 species
AUGCAGUCGAACGAUGAUGCCCAGCUUGCUGGGUGGAUUAGUGGCGAACGGGUGAGUAACACGUGAGUAACCUGCCCCUGACUCUGGGAUAAGCGUUGGAAACGACGUCUAAUACUGGAUACGACUGCCGGCCGCAUGGUCUGGUGGUGGAAAGAUUUUUUGGUUGGGGAUGGACUCGCGGCCUAUCAGCUUGUUGGUGAGGUAAUGGCUCACCAAGGCGACGACGGGUAGCCGGCCUGAGAGGGUGACCGGCCACACUGGGACUGAGACACGGCCCAGACUCCUACGGGAGGCAGCAGUGGGGAAUAUUGCACAAUGGGCGAAAGCCUGAUGCAGCAACGCCGCGUGAGGGAUGACGGCCUUCGGGUUGUAAACCUCUUUUAGUAGGGAAGAAGCGAAAGUGACGGUACCUGCAGAAAAAGCACCGGCUAACUACGUGCCAGCAGCCGCGGUAAUACGUAGGGUGCAAGCGUUGUCCGGAAUUAUUGGGCGUAAAGAGCUCGUAGGCGGUUUGUCGCGUCUGCUGUGAAAUCCCGAGGCUCAACCUCGGGCUUGCAGUGGGUACGGGCAGACUAGAGUGCGGUAGGGGAGAUUGGAAUUCCUGGUGUAGCGGUGGAAUGCGCAGAUAUCAGGAGGAACACCGAUGGCGAAGGCAGAUCUCUGGGCCGUAACUGACGCUGAGGAGCGAAAGCAUGGGGAG